AUGGAAAGCCAUCAGCGCAAAUAUCGUGUUGGAGAACACGUGUCGAGACGUUAAAAAAUGACGUCUUAACACGGCAAAAAGUGCCGUGUCGAGACGUCAAAAAAUGACGUCUCGACACGCAUUUUUCAAUGGACCGUUCUAUUCUUUUCUAGUAGGGGUGUUUUUUUUCUGUUGCUGUUACUAGUCCUUCCUCUAGGUGUCACUGCACAUCCACAUGUUCGUUUCUUGGAAACUGUCAAGGCAUGGUACACAUGACAUGACAAGAGUAUUUAAUGAUUUUUAAAAGAAAAAAUCAGAAGAAUGUUGUCCAAUAUUCUAUAAUGAUAACACUAAUAAUAUAUUUUAUUUAUAGAGCACUUUUCAUUGCUAAAAGCAAUCUCAAAGUGCUCUUUCUAUGGUCCCUGUUUCCCGGUUCUCAUACAGCUGUUUCAUACUAAAUAAAUUGUGUGCCUCAGAUCUGGUUACACUGUUUGUAACACGCAGGUUCUCACUGGCUGGAUCCAACAGGAAAAGAGCAGAGCUAAAAACCAUCGCCUAUUGGAGAGACUGGCUCCUGCAGGUGGAGGAUGGCGCAUCCCCGCUGAGCCUGGGAGAUGUCCUUAUUUUUUCCACUGGACUAGACAAAAUCCCAGCAAUGGGAUUUCCCACUCAGCCGGAGCUGGAAUUUCUCCAUCCUGAAGAUGGACCGGCCAUGUUCCCAAUGGCAAAUACAUGUGGACCAGUACUGCGCCUGCCUGUACAGUCAACAUUCCCCAAAUUUGAAAGUGCUAUGGAAAUGGGGAUUGGGGGCGCAAUUCAAUUUGGCAUACAGUGAAAAAAAUUUCAGCCGUGCUCUCAGUUUUUGUUGUUUCAGUUGUUCCAAAUCUUUUUCAGUUUUUUAUAAAGAAAAUUGGAUUGACAGAGAAAAUGUAGAGUCUAACUCUCAAGUUUUUUACUUUUGUUUUGUUCCAACCCACCAAACGGAAUCCUGGGUGUGUUCUACUGCGAUGUUCUUAUUAUUUUUUUCGUUGUGAAUAUAAGUUGUGUUGUUAAUUUCCAAUAUAUGUGAUUAAUAAGGUGCAGCGUUGUGUUUUCUUUUCUUUUAAAUUCUUGCCCUGUUGUAUGUGGCACUGUUAUAGGCUGGCGACCUGUCCAUGUGUGAGUGAAUAAAUAAAUUUACAGACAUUUUUCUCACAAGUUA